rnacentral:lncRNA from 1 species
AAUCUGAAAGGUGUAAGGGAACCAAGCAUGAACUAGGCUCGAUUCAAGGUAAUUUUCAGGGAGAAGUAUGUGCCAAGGGCGUUGCAGAAUGCGAAGUGUGCAGAAUUUGAGCAUCUGAAACAGACGGGGAAGACUAUUGCAGAUUACGAGGCAGCAUUCACAAACUUGGCAGAGUAUGCUCCAUAUUUGGUUGCCACAGAUG